GAUGAACGCUAGCGGCAGGCCUAACACAUGCAAGUCGAGGGGGAGGUUACUUUCGGGUAACUGAGACCGGCGUACGGGUGCGUAACGCGUAUACAAUCUGCCUUUCACUGGGGGGUAGCCCGAAGAAAUUUGGAUUAAUACCCCAUAGUAUAGUAAUACGGCAUCGUGAUGCUAUUAAAGCUUAGGUGGUGAAAGAUGAGUAUGCGUUCUAUUAGCUAGUUGGAGAGGUAACGGCUCCCCAAGGCGAUGAUAGAUAGGGGUUCUGAGAGGGAUGUCCCCCACACUGGUACUGAGAUACGGACCAGACUCCUACGGGAGGCAGCAGUGAGGAAUAUUGGACAAUGGUCGGAAGACUGAUCCAGCCAUGCCGCGUGCAGGAUGAAGGUCUUAUGGAUUGUAGACUGCUUUUGUAAGGGAAGAAUAAGGGCUACGCGUAGUUUGAUGACGGUACCUUACGAAUAAGCAUCGGCUAACUCCGUG
rnacentral:rRNA from 1 species